UUAAAAUUAAACGCUGAAGAUAAUUUAGCAUACGCUGCCUAGUUGCGGCAGUCUGACCUAGGGCACCUACACCUUAGGACCCAGACUUCGACUCUGUAGGAAACGACACUAUCAAAGCUUUGAGAUGGUGGGCGUAUCAUGAAGCUACUAAAGCAUGUAUCUUGUUUGUAAGAGUCAUGUGGAGGGAAUGUUAAAUUACAAACUACACUCGUAGAAGGGCCGGGAAUUGGCUUUUGGACACGGGUUCGACUCCCGUCAGGUCCACUA
rnacentral:tmRNA from 1 species